GACGAACGCUGGCGGCGUGCUUAACACAUGCAAGUCGAACGGAAAGGCCCUGCUUUUGUGGGGUGCUCGAGUGGCGAACGGGUGAGUAACACGUGAGUAACCUGCCCUUGACUUUGGGAUAACUUCAGGAAACUGGGGCUAAUACCGGAUAGGAGCUCCUGCUGCAUGGUGGGGGUUGGAAAGUUUCGGCGGUUGGGGAUGGACUCGCGGCGUAUCAGCUUGUUGGUGGGGUAGUGGCUUACCAAGGCUUUGACGGGUAGCCGGGCUGAGAGGGUGACCGGCCCCAUUGGGACUGAGAUACGGCCCAGACUCCUACGGGAGGCAGCAGUGGGGAAUAUUGCACAAUGGGCGGAAGCCUGAUGCAGCAACGCCGCGUGGGGGAUGACGGCCUUCGGGUUGUAAACCGCUUUCGCCUGUGACGAAGCGUGAGUGACGGUAAUGGGUAAAGAAGCACCGGCUAACUACGUG
rnacentral:rRNA from 1 species